rnacentral:rRNA from 1 species
UGCAGUCGAGCGGGGUAGCAAUACCUAGCGGCAGACGGGUGCGUAACAUGUGGGAAUCUGCCUUUUGGUUCGGAACAACAUGGGGAAACCUGUGCUAAUACCGGAUAAGUCCUAACGGAGAAAGUUUUAAUGCCAAAAGAUGAGCCCGCAUUUGAUUAGCUUGUUGGUGAGGUAAAAGCUCACCAAGGCUAUAAUCAAUAGCUGAUUUGAGAGGAUGAUCAGCCACACUGGGACUGAGAUACGGCCCAGACUCCUACGGGAGGCAGCAGUGGGGAAUCUUGCACAAUGGGCGAAAGCCUGAUGCAGCGAUGCCGCGUGAGUGAAGAAGGCCUUUGGGUUGUAAAGCUCUUUUGUCGGGAAAGAUAAUGACUGUACCCGAAGAAUAAGGUCCGGCUAACUUCGUGCCAGCAGCCGCGGUAAUACGAAGGGACCUAGCGUAGUUCGGAAUUACUGGGCGUAAAGAGUAUGUAGGCGGCUAGAUAAGUUAAUUGUGAAAGCCCAAAGCUUAACUUUGGAACUGCAAUUAAAACUAUUUAGCUGGAGUAUGAUAGAGGAAAGCGGAAUACAUAGUGUAGAGGUGAAAUUCGUAGAUAUUAUGUAGAACACCAGUUGCGAAGGCGGCUUUCUGGAUCAUUACUGACGCUGAGAUACGAAAGUAUGGGUAGCGA